ACGUGCGGUAAGUCGCUAUUAGUGAGUGAUUUUUUUCCUCUCCCAUCUGUCACGGGUGUCCGUUGCAAUCUUGUUUAGGAUGGGGUGAAUGUUGAUUACAUUCGUUUUGGAACAGGGAUGCAUUCCGUUCUUCUGCCAGAUGCCCCUUAUGUGGCGGUCUGACGAAGUCGGCUCCAAACAAAAAUGACGUAAUAAACACGUGGAGUAAUAGGUAAAAUCGGUGCAUUCAAGAAGCCUCUGAUACAGAUGGUGAGAAGGAAGCCCCAUCAGUCAGCCAACCCACCUACACUACAUAGGAACCCUGGCUUCAUCAGUCUACAUUCCCCGCUAGACCUUGGCCCCAGCAGAUGUCAACACCACAAGCCAUUUUAAGAAGCCACCAGACACACCAGGGAGAAAUGUGGAGGGUGUGGACAUCCUUUGCCAAGGAUGGACGCCUUCCUUUUCUCUCCUCCUCUGUCAUGAUAAUCGGAGGCCUCCUUCCACAGUUUUAACCCUUAAGUGAACAUUUACUUUUAAAUAUAAGAAAACAUUAACUAAACAUUUUACUGUUUAGAAUGAAAAGAUAUGUCCAGUGUGGGGCUCAAAUUCUUAUUUCAGUAAUAUUCAAA